GGGAGAGGGCGUGGUUUGCCACAGCAGCUGGAUUUCCAGUUCUAAGAAAGAGUGAUCACUCCCUCCCUCUCUGUUGGGAGUAGCAGCUUGGUUUUCUUCAAGGCAGAUUUGGUGAGGAUGGUUCUAGAUGGUGUGGUUUCUCAGAGUUCUGCUCUUUGCUAGUGAGAAAACUAUAAGAGAAGGGGGAGGAUAAAAUGACGCUUUCAUUUUUAAAAAUCAUGUCCCAAGUGAUGACUCAGAGGUCAGUAAAAUUUAAAGAUGUGUUUGCUGACUUCUCUUGGGAGCAGUGGGAAUGCUUAAACACUGAUCAAAAAAACCUGUACAAGAAGGUGAUGUUGGACAACCACGAACAUACGAUGACUUUGGGGCAAUGGGCUUUUAAAGCAAGAGCAAUGUCAUCUUUGAAGCAAGAAAGUGAUCCCUGGAUGCUGAAAAGAGAGGAAACAGAUGAUCCAUGCACAGCCUGCCAACCAACUUUUUCUCCUGAACUUCAUGAAUCCAUGGGUGCCUUCCGACAGAGCUCACACUCGAGUGCACAGCAAAGAUUUUACACACUAAGACAAAGCCAUGAGUGUGAUAACUGGGGAACAGCAUUCAGGCAUCUCUCACUCUUAAUUCAACAUAAGGAAAUUCAUACAGUAGAGAAAUCAUAUGAAUAUGACGGGCAGGCAAAGACCUUUAGACAUCCAUUUACUACUCACCAAAGCAUUCAUGCUUUAGAGCAACUCUUUGAAUGUCAUAACUGUGGCAAUACUUCUACUAGAGCUUUAAGGUUUAUGCAGCAUCAGAAAAAGCAUACGGGAUCAAAACGAUACAAAUGUGAUGCAUGUUACAAGGCCUUUAAUUUUUAUUCACUCCUUAUUCAGCAUCAGAGUUCACACUGGAGAGAAACCCUUUCAGUGUGAUACGUGUGGAAAGGCCUUUAGCCAAAAGUCAACCAUGCAACGACAUAAAGAAACUCAUACUCUAGGGCAAAGCUUUGAAUGUAGCAGAUGUGAAGACAUCUUUGACAGUCAUUCAAAGCUUAUGGAACACCAGGCAACUCCCCGGGCAACGCGUACUGAUUGGGCUACACAUACUCAGUCAACAGCAAACAAAUGUGACACCUGUGAAAAGUCCUUAAAGUUUUACUCACACUUUAGGAGACAUCAGAGAACUCACAGUGGAGAGAAGCCCUUCAAAUGUGGUGUAUGUGAAAAGACCUUUAGCCAAGAAGAGGUCUUGAAGCGGCAUAAAAAAAUCCACACUGGAGAGAAGCCUUUUCAUUGUCAAGUGUGUGGACAUAAUUUUAUCAGUAACUUUAAGCUUAUCCAGCAUGCAAGAAUUCAUACUGGAGAAAAGCCACAUAGAUGUGCCCAGUGUGGCAAGACCUUCAGAGUUGCAUCUGUUCUUAGAAUUCAUAAAGUAACUCACUUAGAAGUGAAACCUUUUGCUUGUGAUCAGUGUGAAAAAACUUUUAUGAGGAAAGUUUCAACAUACCUUGUUCAACAUCAGAAAAUUCAUAGGAAAUAGAAUUUCUAAAAUCAUGGUAAUAUCGAAAAGGCCUUUGGGUAUCACAUGGUCUUUAUUAAAUGUCUGAGAAUUUAUCCUGAGAAACCCUAUUUAUAGCUAAAUAACUUUCUGUGUUGAUUAUAAGAUUCCAUGCUUGUUCCUCAGAAUGCACACUGUGUGAAAAAUCUUAGGAUAAAACUAGUAUAUGAAAUUUAACAUGUUUUUUUUAACAUGCAAGGAAACAGCAUCAUCAGAUCAGAUCAGAUCAGUCGCUCAGUCGUGUCUGACUC